AUACUUACCUGGCAGGGGAGAUACCAUGAUCACAAAGGUGGUUUUCCCAGGGCGAGGCUUAUCCAUUGCACUCCAGAUGUGCUGACCCCUGCGAUUUCCCCAAAUG
rnacentral:snRNA from 1 species